AAUGAACGCUGGCGGCAGGCCUAACACAUGCAAGUCGCACGAGUGGCGGACGGGUGAGUAAUGUCUGGGAAACUGCCCGAUGGAGGGGGAUAACUCCUGGAAACGGUAGCUAAUACCGCAUACCAUCGGAUGUGCCCAGAUGGGGUUAGCUAGUCGGUGGGGUAACGGCUCACCUAGGCGACGAUCCCUCGCUGGUCUGCGAGGAUGACCAGCAACCCUGGAACUGAAAAACGGUCCAGACUCAUACGGGAGGCAGCAGUGGGGAAUAUUGCAAAAUGGGCGCAAGACUGAUGCAGCCAUGCCGCGUAUAUGAAGAAGGCCUUCGGGUUGUAAAGUACUUUCAGCGGGGAGGCGUUACCCGCAGAAGAAGCACCGGCUAACUACGUGCCAGCAGCCGCGGUAAUUC
rnacentral:rRNA from 1 species